rnacentral:rRNA from 1 species
CCUACGGGUGGCUGCAGUGGGGAAUAUUCCACAAUGGGCGCAAGCCUGAUGCAGCCAUGCCGCGUGUGUGAAGAAGGCCUUCGGGUUGUAAAGCACUUUCAGCGGGGAGGAAGGCGGUGAGGUUAAUAACCUCAUCGAUUGACGUUACCCGCAGAAGAAGCACCGGCUAACUCCGUGCCAGCAGCCGCGGUAAUACGGAGGGUGCAAGCGUUAAUCGGAAUUACUGGGCGUAAAGCGCACGCAGGCGGUCUGUCAAGUCGGAUGUGAAAUCCCCGGGCUCAACCUGGGAACUGCAUUCGAAACUGGCAGGCUAGAGUCUUGUAGAGGGGGGUAGAAUUCCAGGUGUAGCGGUGAAAUGCGUAGAGAUCUGGAGGAAUACCGGUGGCGAAGGCGGCCCCCUGGACAAAGACUGACGCUCAGGUGCGAAAGCGUGGGGAGCAAACAGGAUUAGAUACCCCGGUAGUC